rnacentral:rRNA from 1 species
CAGCAGCCGCGGAAUACGGAGGGUGCAAGCGUUAAUCGGAAUUACUGGGCGUAAAGCGCACGCAGGCGGUCUGACAAGUCAGAUGUGAAAUCCCCGGGCUUAACCUGGGAACUGCAUUUGAAACUGUCAGGCUGGAGUCUUGUAGAGGGGGGUGGAAUUCCAGGUGUAGCGGUGAAAUGCGUAGAGAUCUGGAGGAAUACCGGUGGCGAAGGCGGCCCCCUGGACAAAGACUGACGCUCAGGUGCGAAAGCGUGGGGAGCAAACAGGAUUAGAUACCCCUGUAGUCCCUGUCUCUUAUACA